AUACGUAGGGGGCGAGCGUUGUCCGGAAUUAUUGGGCGUAAAGGGUGCGUAGGCGGCUGAACAAGUCAGAUGUGAAAGGUUAAGGCUUAACUUUAAUAAGCAUAUGAAACUGUUCAGCUUGAGUUAAGGAGAGGGGAGUGGAGUUCCUAGUGUAGCGGUGAAAUGCGUAGAUAUUAGGAGGAAUACCAGUGGCGAAGGCGACUCUCUGGACUUAAACUGACGCUGAGGCACGAAAGCGUGGGGAGCAAACAGGAUUAGAUACUCUGGUAGUCCACGCGGUAAACGAUGAGUGCUAGGUGUUGGGUGUCAAAGCUCAGUGCCGCAGCUAACGCAAUAAGCACUCCGCCUGGGGAGUACGAUGGCAACAUUGAA
rnacentral:rRNA from 1 species